CAUGCUAGUCGAACGGUAACAGGAAGCAGCUUGCUGCUUUGCUGACGAGUGGCGGACGGGUGAGUAAUGUCUGGGGAUCUGCCCGAUGGAGGGGGAUAACCACUGGAAACGGUGGCUAAUACCGCAUAACGUCGCAAGACCAAAGUGGGGGACCUUCGGGCCUCACACCAUCGGAUGAACCCAGAUGGGAUUAGCUAGUAGGUGGGGUAACGGCUCACCUAGGCGACGAUCCCUAGCUGGUCUGAGAGGAUGACCAGCCACACUGGAACUGAGACACGGUCCAGACUCCUACGGGAGGCAGCAGUGGGGAAUAUUGCACAAUGGGCGCAAGCCUGAUGCAGCCAUGCCGCGUGUAUGAAGAAGGCCUUCGGGUUGUAAAGUACUUUCAGCGGGGAGGAAGGGAUGGCGCUUAAUACGCGCCGUCAUUGACGUUACCCGCAGAAGAAGCACCGGCUAACUCCGUGCCAGCAGCCGCGGUAAUACGGAGGGUGCAAGCGUUAAUCGGAAUUACUGGGCGUAAAGCGCACGCAGGCGGUCUGUUAAGUCAGAUGUGAAAUCCCCGGGCUUAACCUGGGAACUGCAUUUGAAACUGGCAGGCUUGAGUCUCGUAGAGGGGGGUAGAAUUCCAGGUGUAGCGGUGAAAUGCGUAGAGAUCUGGAGGAAUACCGGUGGCGAAGGCGGCCCCCUGGACGAAGACUGACGCUCAGGUGCGAAAGCGUGGGGAGCAAACAGGAUUAGAUACCCUGGUAGUCCACGCCGUAAACGAUGUCGACUUGGAGGCUGUUUCCUUGAGAAGUGGCUUCCGGAGCUAACGCGUUAAGUCGACCGCCUGGGGAGUACGGCCGCAAGGUUAAAACUCAAAUGAAUUGACGGGGGCCCGCACAAGCGGUGGAGCAUGUGGUUUAAUUCGAUGCAACGCGAAGAACCUUACCUGGUCUUGACAUCCACGGAAUUCGGCAGAGAUGCCCUAGUGCCUUCGGGAACCGUGAGACAGGUGCUGCAUGGCUGUCGUC
rnacentral:rRNA from 1 species